GUCUUACCUCUGUCUGUCAGUCAGUCAGGGUUUGAGUGUUACGGUGUCAGUAAACCGCAAAGUCACGUGAGUUGUUGCCAUGGUUACAGCAUUUAAGCUCUGAUGUACUUUAUCUACACAUUAGCAUUAUUCGGAAGGUCUGCAUCAUUUGAAAUGUUGCAACAGCACUGAAAAUGGCUGCAGUGUGAAUCUUUGGGCUUCAAUAAAGUCCUAGUGGCAACAGAUAAGCAACUCUCUGACACACACAAAUACACACACACCUAGUAUAUUAGUAAUCACCAUUAUUGUUUGAAGUCUUGAAUAGCUGUGUUACCUGAUAACCUUCCAACUGAUUAAAUUAAUAUUUGACCUUUUAUAGUAUUAUAUGAUUAGUAUCUAUAUAAAAUUGAGACUGUUUGCUUUUCCAAACGGAUCAUUGCUGCCUGAUGGACAGGGUGGUGCCCUAUAAUGAAUUAAAUUAAUUAGAUAAUUAUUACCUAUUGCACUUGUUAAAUUAUAGAUAAUAAUUAAUAUUCAUCUAAUAAUAGGAAUUUGUAAAACAAAGUAAUAAACUAAAACUAAAAAUAAAUAAAAAAUAUAGUGGUAUUAUGUUAAUUAUUAUAAUUAGUGAUCCUUACUUUAACCAAUUUGGCGCACUAGGCAAGAUUUCAGGUGGCACUCUGUUGCAUUGCAGUAAAUUCUACUGCUAGUGUAUAUCCUGUUAUGGGAAAAAUUGUCUCUUCCUUAUUUCUAUGUGUCUUCCUUAUUUCUAUGCAGUUAUUAUAUGAUAUAUGACUUAUGUUCUGCAAUUAAUAUCUUUUGUUUUGUCUUACUGUAUGCAUUUGACAUUUGACCUAGAUUGUUCAAUGGUUGUCUCUGCCUGAUAGACUCUCAACUCUAGCUCCCAAACCCAAGGCCGGGGAGUUGUGUCUCUGUCUGUUGAGACUUGGUGCUCCUUUCUCACAGAUAGUCGGACGUCAGCGAUGCAUGUGUGAGAAUGUAAACAUCUUCACACACACUGCGACAGGGAGGAGAUGGUGCAUGUCAUUUGAUUGGUUUAGAAAGACGUUCCACCGUAGUCGGACAGAGAAGCUAAAAGGCAGAAGCAACUUUAGGAUCGUGGGCUCUUUGCAUCACACCUUCGUGGUGUGUGCACUGAUCUCCCCAACUGGUUUUUGGUUUGUUGAUGUGCACGAUCAACAUCCAUGCUUUUUAUUUGCUUUCCCCAUUAUUUUUAUUUUCUUUAUUAUUUCAAUAAAUCGCACAAAAGGACAACUCUCUCAUCUGCUUCUUUAUGGAAAAUUUCCACUACAGAAAUUGGCGUCUACGAACAGGAUCCGCGGCAGGUCGUCUGGACGGUGUGACCAGAGACGAUAGUCCUGAGGACUAGGGUCGCUGAGCCUCCAAACCUCUACAGACAUUCAGAGCUGGGAGGACUGCUCACCCGUCUGGAUCGCCUCUGACGGGAUCCACGAACUCAGAUUCAAACUCAAAUCUUAACUUGGCUCAGUCGAACUGAGCGCGAUGAGGGUAAAUCCGGAUCUGGACUCCUUUCCCACCAUCAGCAGAAGAACCGAAGGAGAAGAAGCGCCAACCAACAACCAGAACAGGGUGGAAGCUCUGACACCACAGCAGCUAGAGGACACAGACCACAGCAUGGACGCCUCACCGACUCACACAACGUCUACAGCCAUCACGUUCUGGGAUCAUCAGAUGAACCAGCUACUACAAGCGUGUGUGUCUGACAGACACCUGCUAAUGACAAUCAGCAAAGGAAAACAAGGACAGAGCAACAGCAGUGUGAGAAGACGUGCUCUGACACAGACACUGGUUGAAACAACAGGAGAGGCUUCAGACGUGAUCGGCCCAAAAGAGCUGCAUGCGAGGAUCCAGGAAAGGUCUGUCAUCGAGGAACAACUGUCCCAUUGAAAGGCCCUCACACAGGCUGCAUCACAGCUUGUUUAUGAUUUCACACACACACACACAAACUGACCUCAACUUCCCUCUUUUGGGAUGAACAGGUCUGCACUUGCGAUUUCUUUUACUAACGAACAAAAAGAUUUUUGAUGUUUAUUCUACAGUUCCACACGUCCCUCUGUGAAAACAUGAUGGAGACAGAUGCAGGACGUGGGUCCUUUCGUGAACAGAUGUCAACGGGGUGGAGACUGGUGAACCACUUCUGACCCCAUGUGACAUAUUCACCUACUUUGCAUACUUUUAGAAAACUUAUUUUUAUUCUGCCUGUUAUGUGCAGCAAACAGUGAACUGGGUACCUCCACAUUUUAAUGACACACACUACAUGCUUUUGUUUUUAUUUUCAUUUCAGAGGACGCUCUGACCCAACACUCAGCCUUACAGGAAGCCCUGCUUCCCUGUGGCUCACACACAGACAUGAUGAAGGUUUGAUCAGAGGAUGUGAACCAGUGGUCAUCACACCUAAAUCUGACCACAAACCAUGUAAACAACAACACCCUCCUAAAGGAAGCCAUAGAUGGUGUUACUGCAGACACCACUAAGAUACUGAAACAUUGGAUGCUACAGGCCACAAAGAGAGCCUGUCUAAAUUACAGUUAGUUCAGACAAAGGUUAUUUUCUGGGUCAUUGUAAUUACAGCUGAUGGCAAAUCCAUCUCACCCAACAGAGUUAAAGCAAUUUGAAACCUGCCUAAACCGUGCACGUAAAAACAGCUUAUGUCUUUUCUAGGUUUUUGUUCUUAUUGUAGGACCUUCGUUCGUAACUUUACUGUCUUUGAGGCCCCACUCAGGAUUCUGAUGCAGACAUCUUCAUCGUCCACCUCUUGUCUCACGUGGACGUCUGAGGCUGAACAACGUUCACUGACCUCAUGCUUGCUCUUCAGUCAACUCCUACUUUGGGUCUUCCUGAUCUGACCCUACGCGACCUUUCACUCAAACAGUGGAUGAGAGAUCAGGUUGUACGACUUCUGUUCUUUCGUCCUCAUGCUGAGUCCUUGAUUCUUUUGGAAUAGAUCACAUCUUUCUACAGCCCGAUGGCUUAGAUGCAACACCACUUUGCUCAACAUGCUGAACGUUACUAUCAAGACGUCGUCUUGAAGUCUAGUGCUUUGCUAAGACACUACUCUGCUCAGGCUGCAGAGUUGAUCCUAUUGACUGAAGCUGGUUAACUAAAAGUCUGUUACCAUCUACACAGACUCCACAGACGCUCUGUGGAAGCAUAGGAAGCUUUUGAAGUCUGAUUGCAAACCUAUCUCACAUCAUGAUUAGGUUCUGCUUUGCUGGACGCUGUCCUGCCACCUACAGCUAAUGCUGUUUUUACAUCAUCAGUGACGACUUUGUUUGUGCCGACAUGCAGCUGCAGACGCUGCUGCGAAGGUCGCUGCCCGACAAUCCCUCCCUCUCCUGAUCCUCGUUUCCUCUCCUGAUCCUUGUUCCCUCUCUCCAACUCUGUGCUUUAAACAUUUUCUACCUCGCAGGAACACAGACUCUGGCAGACGAAUGGUUCCACCUGUAGCCAUGGAGUCUGGUUUGGGCCUGAUGACAAGCCGUGCCGCCCAAACACCUUUUCCCCAUAAUUCAGAUUUCCCAACAGGUGAAAGCAGGCGACAGGACCAUCACAUCAUUCAACCAGGAGACUGGGCGAUCGUUAAGGAGUUCAGGAGGAAGCACUGGGACUCCAAACGGUGGCGAGGCCCCUUCCAGGACCUUCUGACGACCCACACGGCUGUGAAGGUCACAGAGAAAACCACCACUGACGAAAACAACUGAGAAGGACGACCCUCGCUGUGCUCACACACGCACUGAGGCGAGGCUGCGUUGACCGUUCAGCUAAAGGUGUGAGCCAAGCGCCGCCUGAAGCUGCGCCGAUGAAUCACACUAUCAGACCAUACAUCUACACACACGUUCCUGAGAAAACACACACACGAGCAGCCUUGAGUUGCCGACGCUGGAAGACGUGUAGACUCUUCACAUCACGGGAGUGACAGUGACUCAGACGACAUUGGGAGGAAACCUGGCGGUGAUAACGAAUCCCAAGUGUCUCUGUGAUCAGCUGAUCACAACCUGAAGAACCCCAACGAACAAUCAAUACUUCAACACACAGGUUGGAAACAAUCUAACGCUACUGUUCAACAGGACGAAGCAGAUCGUUACGAGACAUCAAUUGUAACCAUGCUUUGUUAGACUUCAUUUUAUGUUACUCUGAUUAUUGCCUUUAUCACAUGAUGUUUCUAUGUAACUUUACACACUACUUUUGAAUGAGAAAAUUUCACAUAAUUCACAACACUGAGUUUAAAUAUCCUAAAGUUGAUUUGGUGUUUGAUUUGCUCACAAUCACUUUAUUCACUGCUACAAAAAUCUUUAUCCUUCAUCUACAGAUGAAAGACAACACAAGCGGAAAUAUGCAUCAUCAUCAUUCUGGUUUAAUCCCUGAAUCUCGUAUUCAUUCUAGACGCAAAUGUACAAUUAAAGAUCCAAAAGCAUGAAAUCUAUCUUAAGAUUACUGUAUAUGAAACAGAACCCCAUCGGAAACCUAUGGCUAUCAUACAUUAAUUGUCUUUAUUACAUUACAAUUGAAUGGCCGUAGACACGUUGUUAGCUGAGAAAAGAGGCGUUUGUGUUAUGUUUGGAGAGGCAUGUUGUACUUACAUCCUGAAUAACACUGAUUCUAAUGGUAUUGUGGCGAAGGCGCUCCACGGCCUUCCGAAUCUCAGCUAACUCUGGUAUAGGUUCUUUCCCUUGGAAUUGGCUAGACGAAAUGUCUGGAAAAUGGAAAUCUGUUCUCAUGUCCGCAGCAACACUCUUGUAUCAAAUGACACAAUGCACUAUGUUCAAAAACCCCAACUCUAAUUCACUUAAUGACUUUGACGAUGAUCUUAGGCUAUCGGAUCAAAAAUAUAAUAUGAUACAAAUAUGAUAAUGAGCUUAUUUUCUUCACAUGCCAAUACAGAAGUUAUUCUUGUAUAACUAUCCACCAAAACAGCUCCCAACCUUUUGUCCCUAAGUUACUUGCAUUUUAUGUGAAGGUGUAUUUUGACUCUUGAUGAGUUAAUACCCUUAUUGUUUCAUUUGCAAGGGUCUUUUAUUAUUACAGAAUGUGAUGUUGACAAUUUUUAUUCCUUUAUGGUUUGAUUAAUGUGUAAUCAAAAGGGGGGAGUGUUAUGGGAAAAAUUGUCUCUUCCUUAUUUCUAUGUGUCUUCCUUAUUUCUAUGCAGUUAUUAUAUGAUUUAUGACUUAUGUUCUGCAAUUAAUAUCUUUUGUUUUGUCUUACUGUAUGCAUUUGACAUUUGACCUAGAUUGUUCAAUGGUUGUCUCUGCCUGAUAGACUCUCAACUCUAGCUCCCAAACCCAAGGCCGGGGAGUUGUGUCUCUGUCUGUUGAGACUUGGUGCUCCUUUCUCACAGAUAGUCGGACGUCAGCGAUGCAUGUGUGAGAAUGUAAACAUCUUCACACACACUGCGACAGGGAGGAGAUGGUGCAUGUCAUUUGAUUGGUUUAGAAAGAC